rnacentral:lncRNA from 1 species
CGACCGGGAGAGAGAGAAAGAAAGAGAAUCGCUCCGCCUGAUCUGUGCUCUCGAGCCUGGCGUCGUCGCACCGUACCAUGGGGCUGCCGGCACUCAAUCGGCUCAUGUCUGUGCAGCGCGAUCGGCGUCGCCGGCCAACUCAAGGCCGCAGUAAGCUGCCCGACUCUCAGCUCCCUAGUUCGGCCGCUCUGUUUAUUCAUCUAUGCCAUGUGUUGUGUCUUCAUGUCCUGAUGACAUCUAGUUCAGCACGUUUCUUUUAGCAUCAACAGCCUAUAACCAAGCUCUAUUUUUCUUUUUUUGCCAUUAAUCUGUAAUCUGUUCAAUGUCUUACCAAGAGGGCUGGGCGGUCGAUCUGUACAAAUAUUUUUGUGUCUGCCGUUUACAGUUUCUUUUCCCCGAAGAAUAAAAGAGCAGUAUACAUGUAGUUUUCUUCCAUCGGCAUCUCUUUAAUUUCUAACCAAUGCAUGGUGUAUCGCAGAUGGACUGGUAACUUCAUCCCUGGCUAAAAGGAAGGACUCACCCUGCAU